UUCAACAGUCUGGUCGGCGGACCCCACAAAACAUCCUCUUUGACCAGCAAAUCGUGCUUUGGCUUCCCCGUGGCAGAGGCUGAAGAUAUUUUCUCAAAGUCCCACUGACCGGAUCUCACUGUGCCCCCUGAUUUCUUUGUGGUCGUGGACGUUUGGCCUGAGGUUCAUUCAGGACUUUCUACGUGCCAGGACUAAACCUUGGGAUGGGUAGAAUAUAAGUGGACUCUGCCAGGAGUUACUCACCAGCUGAUUUCUGGGCUUCAUUUAUAAGUGGAGUUCAGCCCUCUGCCCAGGUGACUCAGAUCUUCUUAAUGAUGAAUUUGUGGCCGUGGUAUCCGCCUCCCAUCCCCCAAUUCCUCUCGCUUCAGGGGGUAUUUGCCAUCGCCCUCGCUCGUUCAAGGCUGUUGCCAUUAAACCUGAGCAAGCCAGACCUCUCUGCCACACUAGAGAGGCAGAGGUGGUAAUUUGAAGUGCCGAGUUCCGAGUAAUGACUUUAUUGAUUCCUUCAAAGUGAGCUGAAGAACAAGAGAAGUGGGUGAAUGAGACCAACCAAGUUAAGUAGAUUUCCUCAACCAUGAGCGAGGCCCUGGAGUUAAUGGCGGUGGCUCCCGAGGCCACGGUGAUCAAUGGUAUUACCCUCCCACCCCAGGACUUCGCCUUGGAGGUGUUCAGACGCAGGUCCAUCAUGAGCCAGAGGAUACUGAACUGGAAUGAGAAUGGAGGCGAUGCUGGAAGGACCCCCUGCCACUUGGGGGACACCCCUCUCCGUGGAAAGAUCUCCCCGAUCUUCACGGUCCCCCCGCCCCCUCCCCCAUCUCCUUCUGAAGACUCCACAGGGGCCAAUCCUACUGUGUGUGUGAAGGACCAGCAGUCUGAGGGAAAAGGGAACUAGCUAAAGGAAAACACUUGCUUCUUUCAUCCUGCUUUGCUCAGAGAAACACGGACAAUUUCCGCUUGUCCUUGGAAUUCACCCUUCUAAUAUAGAGUGGCUCCUCCUCCCCCCAGACCCACAAUGCCCCCUCCCCCGAGACUGUCACUCGAUUCACGUGAUUGUUAUGAUUCACGUACAUGGUUUUCAUACAUGACUUUUACUUGAUGACAUUUUGUACUGUUCUGUGUCUGGAAGCAAUAAAGUCUUAAGAGUAGAA